GAUGAACGCUAGCUACAGGCUUAACACAUGCAAGUCGCAGGGUAACAUGAGGAAAGCUUGCUUUCCUUGAUGACGACUGGCGCACGGGUGAGUAACGCGUAUCCAACCUUCCCAUAACUACGGGAUAACCCGUUGAAAGACGGCCUAAUACCGUAUGACAUCGUUUGCUGACAUCAAAUAACGAUUAAAGGUUUAGCGGUUAUGGAUGGGGAUGCGUCUGAUUAGCUUGUUGGCGGGGUAACGGCCCACCAAGGCGACGAUCAGUAGGGGUGCUGAGAGGAAGGUCCCCCACAUUGGAACUGAGACACGGUCCAAACUCCUACGGGAGGCAGCAGUGAGGAAUAUUGGUCAAUGGGCGAGAGCCUGAACCAGCCAAGUAGCGUGCAGGAGGACGGCCCUAUGGGUUGUAAACUGCUUUUAUGUGGGGAUAAAGUGCGUGACGUGUCAUGCAUUGCAGGUACCACAUGAAUAAGGACCGGCUAAUUCCGUG
rnacentral:rRNA from 1 species